UACGGGGGGGGCAAGCGUUGUCCGGAAUUAUUGGGCGUAAAGGGCUCGUAGGCGGUCUGUUGCGUCGGGAGUGAAAACUUACAGCUUAACUGUGAGCGUGCUUUCGAUACGGGCAGACUUGAGGCAUUCAGGGGAGAACGGAAUUCCUGGUGUAGCGGUGAAAUGCGUAGAUAUCAAGAGGAACACCUGAGGUGAAGACGGGUUGCUGGGCCAACACUGACGCUGAGGCGCGAAAGCCAGGGGAGCAAACGGG
rnacentral:rRNA from 1 species